ACCCUACGGGGGGCAGCAGUGGGGAAUAUUGCACAAUGGGGGGAACCCUGAUGCAGCGACGCCGCGUGAGUGAAGAAGUAUUUCGGUAUGUAAAGCUCUAUCAGCAGGGAAGAAGAUGACGGUACCUGACUAAGAAGCCCCGGCUAACUACGAGCCAGCAGCCGCGGUAAUACGUAGGGGGCAAGCGUUAUCCGGAUUUACUGGGUGUAAAGGGAGCGCGGGCGGCGCGGGAAGUCUGAUUUGAAAGCCCGGGGCUCAACCCCGGACCUGCAUUGGAAACUGUAGUGCUGGAGUGUCGGAGGGGG
rnacentral:rRNA from 1 species